rnacentral:misc_RNA from 1 species
UAAGAGCAAAGUUUCCAUUAAGGUAAUUUUUUAGUUUAUUUCUUUUAUGUUGUUUAUGCGAGGAUUACUUGGAAUUUUGAAUUGUGAGAUUAUGCUAUUAAUUUAUUUAUAGCGGUUUUGUUGCUAACAUUUUUUUUUUUUUGUGAAAAAGAAAAACAUGAAAUCAAUUGGCUUGCAGAAUUAAAAAGUCAAAACGCUCAACAUCACAUGCUUAUUCUGUAAAAUUAAUUUUUUAAAAAAUUCCUUAAUUAGUUAUCAUGGAUAUUCUAAGUUCACAAGAGAAACUUUUAGUUUUAAUCUC